rnacentral:sRNA from 1 species
GCUGGGCACGGUGGUGCAUGCCUGUAAUCCCAGCAGCUCAGGAGGUUGAGACAGGAGGAUCGCAGGUUCAAAGCCAGCCUCAGCAAGAGUGAGGCACUAAGCAACUCAGCAAGACCCUGUCUCUA